rnacentral:rRNA from 1 species
GAUGAACGCUGGCGGCGUGCCUAAUACAUGCAAGUCGAGCGAACGGACGAGAAGCUUGCUUCUCUGAUGUUAGCGGCGGACGGGUGAGUAACACGUGGAUAACCUACCUAUAAGACUGGGAUAACUUCGGGAAACCGGAGCUAAUACCGGAUAAUAUUUUGAACCGCAUGGUUCAAAAGUGAAAGACGGUCUUGCUGUCACUUAUAGAUGGAUCCGCGCUGCAUUAGCUAGUUGGUAAGGUAACGGCUUACCAGGGCAACGAUGCAUAGCCGACCUGAGAGGGUGAUCGGCCACACUGGAACUGAGACACGGUCCAGACUCCUACGGGAGGCAGCAGUAGGGAAUCUUCCGCAAUGGGCGAAAGCCUGACGGAGCAACGCCGCGUGAGUGAUGAAGGUCUUCGGAUCGUAAAACUCUGUUAUUAGGGAAGAACAUAUGUGUAAGUAACUGUGCACAUCUUGACGUUACCUAAUCAGAAAGCCACGGCUAACUACGUG